GGUAACUUUUACCGAAAACAUCCUCAUCAUCCACAAACCUUCUCUUCCUUAACAAAUUGCACAAAGCAUCGCUCUCCUUUCUCUCCAAUUUCAUCAUCAGAAUCAAAAUUCUGUCUUUCUAUUUCAAGAAACCUUGUGUUUACUCGAAAAUGCACGAUUCUUUUGAUACUCAACCGAAUCUUGUCCAAUCGAGCCGCCACUCCUCUGGAAAAUUUGCGCCUCCUGCGACGGCGGCGAUGCAAUCGGGGACUAUAUUCAUGGUCGGAAACGGCGAUGCUGGAUUUUGGAACCCUAGCUCGGAUUCAUCGAUCAAGCAUCAUUUGCAAAGGGAAUCUGGUAGAAAAGCCAGAAUUGAAGAGAAUAAUUUGUCGAUGGAUCCAGAGCUCACGUUAUUGGAUAGGAACUUCAAACGAGGUCACGGUUACAAGAAGAGGAAAUUAUGAUGCUUCGUGAACAAAUUGUUGAUGCAUGUGAAUUGUGAACAAGAGCUACAGCUUUUGAAGGAAAAACAGUUGUUAGAGAGGCGGCUAUUUGAUUUACGAAUGGUUUGUGUGCUUUAUCAAGAAUAUAUCUUCUUAUAUUUUGAUAAUAUUCCUUGUGUUCCUUCUGAAUUGAUGUGUGUUAUUAUACUCUUUAAGAAAUAGGCACUUGAUGAAAAACGGGAAGAUGCCAUAGAGGAUGUUUUGAAGGACCUCAGCCACAAAAAAGUUUGUAUCCAAAAAAACAUGAGGCUGGCACAUCAUUUACAAGUAUGUUAUUUUGACAACAAACAUUAGCAAAAUACAGCCUAUACAUAUGACCUAGGAUUUCAUGUGCCUCUUAUCUAUAGGUAUGGGGAUGAGAGAACCAAGGCAAGAGCAAUGCUUUGUGACAUAUAUCAUCAUGCUAUCUUUGAUGAGUUCUCAACUGCAUGCGACCUUUUGUUGAUGAGUCAUUUGCAAGAAGAGAUUCAACUCAUGGACAUAUCCUCUUAGUUUCUAUUUAACAGGGCAAUGGCACAAUUUAGUUUAUGUGCCUUAAGGACCGGUCUUAUUGCUAAAGCGCAUGGGUGCCUGUCUAAACUUUAUAUAGGUGGUAGGGUGAAGAAGCAGCUUGCGCAAGGUGUAUCUCAUAAUCGGUAUCAUAAAAAAACUCAUGAGCAAGUAUGUACCAUAUUUAUUGCUAAUUUUUUUCAUCCAUGCUAAUAUAACUGAUUUAUCAUAACAAAGCCUCUUCCUUAGUAAUGAUCAUUUGCAUAUCAUUUUAAAUCUAUCAUAUUGCACUGAAUGAGAUUUCCUUUUUCCAAUUAGAUUGUCCACAUAUGGAAAAGUUUUUUGCUUAUUGAGACCACAUUAAUUUCAUGCAUAUUAUGUUGUGCUGUGAUGCAAAUGUGUUGCUAUGCAAACAUGCUUGUGUUUGUACAUUCUUGUCAGUUAAUUGUCAUUCCAAGUUAUUAUCUUACCAUAUUUGUUUGUGUGUCAACUCAACAAAUUGUAUUGACAUGAAAUAGUUAAAGUAGAUAUUCUACUUAAGGGGCAUAUGUGCCCUUUGAUUUCUUAUUCACACUAUAUUCACGGUAAAGUAUGUGUGGAUAGAUAUUAUAUAGCCAUUUUAGGUUUGCUUAUGAGAUAUAUGUAUUAUCAUAUGCUAUUUCUAAUUCACUUUUCUGGUUUAUUUUCUUUGAUUGCUCGAUUGAUUAUUUGAGCUUUGCCAAAUGACCUGCUGGGAUGUUACUGGGGACAAUAUAUAUUCAUCUGGGUGGUUUCAUUGAUAAUUUCCAAGCUGUUUGUUUCAUAGAUUUCUCCCGCUACAAUGCAAAUCACUAUGGAGCUUAGAGUCAUUAGGCAAGAGUAGCUGAACAAGUUCUAUUUCAUAUUGAGGGCUCAUAGGAUUGUUCUUGAAGCGAAUUUGUCGAUUCAAGUUAUUAUGGAGAAGUUGCAGUCUUAUAAAGCUCGGAUUGUGCUUAAUUUUUUUGAGGGUUUUCAAUAUCAACUUGGUGAUUUCCGAUUGAGAGUUGGAAAGUGUGUU